rnacentral:lncRNA from 1 species
CUUCCUAAUAUUUACUCUACAUCUCUGUUGCUUUCAAUUUACUUUCUGCCCCCCUUGCAUUUGGGGGGAAUAAAAACAGCCGUUCGUCAUCACCACACAUGUCAUCCGUGAUGUCAUGUACGCAGAACCCAUAAUACGACGACAAAACGUUUUGAACUAAGGUUUGGAGGUUGCUUAUUCUGGGCUAAUGAUUGUGCUAAGGUCUCUAUUUAUUCCAUUUGCUCAAGGUCCUGAAGCUGGCAAGCAGUGAGGCCGGGAUUCAAGUCGAAUAGCCUCCAGAUCCAGUGACCCCCUGAGAUGUCGCUUAUCUGUGGACAAAUCACAACCACGUUUGGGUGAUAGAUAUUAAAAGCUGCAGGACCCACCGCAAAAACUCCACAUGUGACCCCGCCUAUCAGCUAAUAUGUCCCGCCACCCCACCUUCCGCUCUGGAACCUGUUUAUGGUGCUCAGACUCUUCACAGAGAACAAUCCAGAUAUGCUCAUCUCGGUUUUCUGGAUGGUGCUUCCUAGACCCUGGUACAUCUGGUUUCUCUUCACAUAGAAGACUGUGCAGCAUCUGCUUGGUAUCUUGGCUGGAUUUUUCCCAGAAGAACCUACAGGGGAAUGCUGACUUGCACUCCGAAUUUGUAAAUCACAGUCAUAAAAUCGGAUGAAAAUACACAUAUGCUUCUCACUAUCAGUACACCAAAGAUAUAAACCCAAAACUAAAAAAGAAGAAAGUUGAAGAAAUACCUUCAUAUAUGUCUAUGUGAUUAUUUCCCCAGCCUUGAAAAGUGCUGGCCUUACACAUUUGCUCAUUGUUUUUAAAAAUCACAUUCCUUUCAUUCAAUCAAUAAACAUUCAGUGAACUCCUGCUGUGAGUGGCCACUGUAACCUUUCUCUACUUCUAAAAGAAAGCAAUGGGACUUUAUUUAGUGGGUUGAAGGCAGCAAUAAGCACAUGUCAAUUUAUGCUUGAGUGUUGAUGUCAGUUUCAAGGUAAUCUCUUUCAUAUAGGAGGAAAGAAGGAAGGUCACGAUAAAGAAGGGAACGGCGGAAGGUGCUCAGCACCUACUAAGCACCAGGCCAAGAACUCUGCGGCUGUUUGAUGUAGCUUGAUGUAGAACUAGAGGAGGUAUUUAUUUCCCCUGUUUUAUGGACAAGGAUAACAAGCUUUUGACGAGCUCAACAACUAUUCAAGACCACUCCCCAUGCUACACUGUAGUUUAUCUUCCAAACAGAUUCACCACCUGAAGAGGCAAUCGGCAUGAUUCCAAAAUCUGAACUAAGAUCCGAGAAGCUCCAAAGUCAAAACUCAAGGCUUACUGUUUUUGUUGAUUUUACACCACCAAGAUGCUAUAAGUUUCUCGGGACAAAGAAACCACAGCUAUUCUAGUUUGCUUCAAUUCCUUUGGUGGGAAGGAGGCUUGCAUUUCCUGAACCAAGAGAUAUCUUAUGUAAAUAAAAUCUUUCUUUCCUCACCCCCAAAAUUUUGUUAAAAGAUGAACUGAACAAAAAUUUUACUAUACUCCUCCAAAUUCCUCAGUGUUAUGAAGUAAAAGUCUCUAUUUAAUGUCUCUUGAUGUUCUAGGAAAUACAAAUCAAGAUGCUCCUCUAGUUCUGAUAACAUAUAUGUCCCUCAGAAACUUCAUUUACCUUUCCCUAUUAAGGAUAUCAUGAAUGUUAGAUAAAAUUUAAAAUCCUUUAAAAAAAAUUACUCAUCCUAACAGUAAUUGUCUUCAGAUACAAUUCGUGGUAAGACUACUACCUUUCUCUAAUUUUCUAACUCUUGCCUGACCUUGAUUUGAUGCUAAAGGAACUGAGUGGUUCCUUUAAUACUUCUCUGCUUAAAGCUUUCUCUGUCUGGCUUUAGGUAAGUCUUUCAUGUCCAUUGGCUGACUCAGCAUUCUAGAUUGUCACUCUUUAGUUAAAAGGUCAUUAUUUUCAAAUUCCAAUAGCAGACACCAAGAGAUCCAAAAUUCAGCAAGCUAACUGCACUUAGAUAUUACACAAAUAGAAAAUAAAACUUAAAAUAACCAGAGUCCCUUUUCUUGGUUACAGUAGAUUGCAUUAUAAUGCCAAUGGUGAAAAUAAGAGAUUUUUCAGAUAUUGGGUUCUUUCUAGCAACAGUUCAACAAAUGCAUGUAAAUGCGCAUCUGUGAAAUAAAUCUGCCACAGAUGCUGCACCUGGAAAUGGGGUCUUGAACAGGAAGCGAUUUAUUAUCGCAAUAAAUUAUAUCCAUAAUCUAUCUAGACCCCCCUACUCCUUAAGAAAAGUCCAGCCCAGGGGCUCCUGGGUGGCUCAGUGGGUUAAAGCCUCUGUUUUUGGCUCAGGUCAUGAUCCCAAGGUCCUGGGAUCGAGCCCUGCAUCAGGCUCUCUGCUCAGCGGGGAGCCUGCNNNNNNNNNNN